UCAGGGACUCAGACUGCAGUAGAAAACUGAAGAAUGUAUUAAUUACAGUAUUCUGGCUGGGGAAGGCUUCCAGUGUGUGUCCCUCCUAUGACGGCCCUGUCCUAAACCUCAGAGAGUUUGAGGGACUGCGGUCACACAUGACAACGGUGAGUGAGGACAGGUCUGGGUCAGACAGUGUGAGGCCAGGUGUGAGGGACAGUGGUUACGACUGUUGGGACUCAGAGCG